rnacentral:snRNA from 1 species
UUUUAGUAAUUAAUCGUGUAGUU